GCCACUGUCUACUACUUUGUCCUAGAUGUGAAAGAAUCUGACUGUUGGGUCCUAUCCACAAAAUCCCAGAAUGACUGUCUUGAAGCUUCGCGGCCAUCUGAAAUCGUGAUUGGACAAUGUAAGGUCAUAGCUACGAGAUACUCUAACGACUCUCAGGACUGCAGAGUGAACCACUAUAACUGCACCACGAGCUCUGUCUCCUCAGCCCUGAGCAACACCCUGUGCUCCUGGAAUAUAUUGGAGAGUCCGAGGUUCACAGACAACAAGCCCACAACGCCCUGGAGAAGUACAAAGAGGAGAACGACGGCUUUGCCUCUUUCCGAGUGGACCGAGUAGAGAGGGUUAUAAAAGCGAGCGGAGGGGAAAGAACCAAUUACUAUGUGGACUUCUCUAUGCGGAACUGCUCUACACAGCAUUUCCACAGAAGGCCUCCAGUCUUUGGAUUCUGCAGAGCAGUUUUGUCCUACAGUGUAGAUGCCACCUACCUGGAAACCCCAGAAAACAUUGACAUAAUCUGUAAGGAGUGUCUUUAC